CUCGACCCCCCCGUUGUGAGCAGGUUGUCUUCUCAAUUGUGAGCGACAAAAGUAGCAUAAUAAGACUCCAAUGAAGUCACUUUCUUUUUCCUAACCAAUACUACCAUUCUUGCUCCUUUCAACAAUUCUGCAGCAGAUUCAGUUAAGCAUUUUCUCAAACACAUAAUCUGCAAUUUUACCCAUUUGUAUUCUUCUUCAUUUUCCGGUUGGAUCGCCGGUUAACCGGAAUGAGAACACCGGCCGGAACACACCUCGUUUUCAUCUAAUUUUCUGAUUUUCUGCACACACAAUAAUGAUGAUGAACAUAUAAGGAGGAAGUGAUAAACAAACUCAACAACUAAAAAGCUCUUUUUUAACUUUUGGGAUUUUAUUUUUUUGUUUCUGUUGAAAUGUCUGACGUCAAUGUUAACUCAGUUGACUUGUUGAAUUCGGGGGAAGAAAUGGCGGAGAAAGCAUUGAGCAAGCGAUACGAAGGUCUAGUUGCGGUCCGUACAAAAGCUAUAAAAGGAAAAGGAGCUUGGUACUGGGCUCAUCUGGAGCCUAUUCUGAUUCAAAACCCAGAAACGAAUCUCCCUAAAGCAGUGAAACUCAAGUGUACUUUGUGUGAUGCUGCGUUUUCGGCUUCAAAUCCAUCUCGUACUGCUACAGAGCAUCUUAAAAGAGGUACCUGUCCCAAUUUUGGUUCCGUUUUGAGGCCCAUUUCACAAUUACCUCCUUUAGCUUCACCUACUUCACAGAAUAAUCAUCGCAAGCGAAGUUCACCACAAACUGGUACUUCCCAGCAAUUCGGAUUGGUGAAUAAUUCGCCGCAUUUCUGCAGCGAAAUUGGAUAUUCAUCAGUCCAAUCAACUCAAACAAUUGCUACCCAUACGGGUUUGAAUCAACAACAUUUGGUGUUGUCCGGUGGGAAAGAGGAUUUGGGUGCUUUAGCAAUGUUGGAAGAUAGUGUAAAGAGGCUUAAAAGUUUGAAAGGUUCACCUGGUCCAGCUUUGUGUAAGGACCAGGUUGAUUCAGCUUUCAAUUUGUUGGCUGAUUGGUUUUAUGAGUCCUGUGGGACAUUGACACUUUCGAGCCUCGAGCAUCCCAAAUUCAAGGCUUUCCUUAACCAAGUAGGCUUGCCCCCGGUGUCUAGAAAGGACUUUGUAGGAGAAAAACUUGAUUCUAAGUUUGAAGAAGCAAGAGUGGAAUCGGAAGCCAGGAUUCGGGACGCAGCAUUUUUUCAAGUUUCUUCAGAUGGAUGGGGGAGGGAUAUUUGUAAGUAUGGGGAAGACACUGUGAUUAAAUUUAUUGUGAAUCUUCCUAAUGGUACUAAUGUAUUUCAUAAGGCAGUUUAUAAGGGCGGUUUGGUGCCAUCGGAGUAUGCAGAAGAAGUUUUACGUGAAACUAUUAAAGGGUUGUGUGGUAAUGUUGUUCAAAGAUGCGUAGGAAUAGUUGGAGACAAGUAUAAAGGUAAGGCAUUGAGGAAUUUGGAGAUACAAAAUCAUUGGAUGGUUAAUCUUUCAUGCCAACUUCAUGGCUUUAUUAGUUUGUUGAAAGACUUUGGUAGAGCGCUUCCACUUUUUAAAACUGUCACUGAUAAUUGUUUAAAGAUUGCAAAUCUUUUCAAUAGCAAGUCCCAGAUCAGGAAUCAUUUUAGGAAAUUCAGGUCACACGGUGUUGAGCUUGCAGGGUUGAUUAGAGUUCCUUCAGCUGACUGCAAUCUCUCUAAGAACUAUGGUCCUGUUAUUGCAAUGUUGGAGGAUAUACUAAGUUAUGCUCGAAUACUGCAGUUAAUAGUGUUGGAUGAUUCCUAUAAGGUCUCAUGCAUAGAGGAUCCCGUUGCUAAAGAAGUUGCUGAUAUGAUACAGGAUGUUGGGUUUUGGAACGAUGUGGAGGCUGUUCAUUCACUAGUGAAGCUGAUCAAGGAGAUGACUGAUGAUAUUGAGGUCGAGAGACCCUUAGUUGGUCAGUGUCUUCUUCUUUGGGAGGAGUUGAGAGCUAAAGUAAAGGACUGGUGUGCCAAAUUUAGCAUUGCUGAGGGACCUAUUGAGAAGAUAAUCGAUACACGGUUCAAGAGAAACUAUCACCCUGCAUGGUCAGCUGCAUUUGUACUUGAUCCAUUAUACUUAGUGAGGGAUGCAAGUGGGAAGUACCUUCCACCAUUUAAACGUCUCACACAUGAUCAAGAGAAGGACAUAGACAAGCUUAUAACACGGCUAGUACCACGGGAGGAAGCUCCCACUGCACUAAUGGAGCUUAUGAAAUGGAGAUCAGAAGGGCUCGACCCACUGUACGCUCAGGCUGUUCAAGUAAAGCAGCGAGAUCCGGUAACUGGACGAAUGAAAAUUGCAAAUCCUCAGAGUAGCAGGCUUGUAUGGGAAACUUGCUUGAAAGAGUUCAAGUCGCUGGGGAAGGUCGCUGUUAGGCUUCUCUUCCUUCAGGCAACCUCUUGUGGAUUUAAAUGUAAUUGGUCCUUUAUGAGAUGGGUUUCUCUGCAAGGGCACUCAAGGGUUGGCAUGGAUAGAGCUCAAAGGAUGAUCUUCAUUGCAGCUCACGCAAAACUUGAGAAGCGGGAUUUUUCCAGCGAUGAGGAGAAGGAUGCUGAGAUGCUUACUACAGCAAAUGGAAAAAACAAAGGAAGAGACCAACUAAUAUUAUCAAUUUUGUUCAGCUGUCAGUUUUAUUUAUUGACCUUAGUCCAUGACAUGCCAAUAUUUCUCAUAUUAAACCAGUUGAUAUUCUCAUAAAGUCAACGAUGUGAAUUAUCAAGACAUCGAUAAGCCACUUGGGGGAGAGAGGCAAAGAGCAUUCAAGAGUACAUAUUUUAGUGUUUUGAGCUAUUCAUGACUAUCAGAUCAUCAACUUGUGCUAGUUUUUAUUCUUAUAUUGGGUGGCUUCAACACUUGUUGUACAUAUAAAGUUCGACCAAGUGGAAAGGGGAAGCUACUUGAAGAUGUUAGUGAUAUGAAUCAAGUUUCUCUUCAUUGGUGGUUGCAUGAAAAAUCAGAUAAGCUUUUAUGAGAUGAGUCAACCUAAGAACAGUCCGGAAACAGAUCCUUGUAGCCAGAAGAAUGACUCCACAGCAUCUGCUUUACGAGCUCCACAGACGUUGCAUCAAGAAGAAGGAUUAGAGGGGAAGUUCUCUGUUUCUUUCUAUUUACUAAGUACUUAAUUGUUUAAUUUAUUCCUAUCAGCCAAGACUGUUUAAAAAGCUGUAGGUUAACUAUCUUACUCUCAUACAAGGUGGUACUUUGUUGAAAAUGUCACACCAGAUUUUGGAAGUAAAAAGUUUUUUUCUUAGUACUAGGUUAUUUCACCUGAUUGGAAAAAGCUACUUUGAGCAAACUGUAAGCAAGGGGGCUGUCGGCAUCAUGAAUUGCAUAUCAUAGCUGAAAGGAUUUUUCAACUGACUUCGAGCUCUACUUUGCUGUCUGUAACACUGACUAAUAUAAUUUGGUUUUUAUGGAGGCAUGCUGUUUUUCUUUUUUUCGUGUUAUCACACACAUGCACCAUUCAUAGGACUUCGCUAAGUUUUUGUUCAAGUAUUCGUCUUACCUCAGUUUUGCAUUCAAAAUUUUGUCUGGGAAGAGAACUGUUAUAAACUUGGCUCCUUAUAGAUUUUUAAGGAAUACCUACAAUUCAUGACUUGCAUGCUGACGACAUGUUCCCUAACUGACUUAGUCUGGUCUUGGAAACCUCUAUGAAAUGAUUGUCAAUUUAUAAUUACGCUGAAAUUGGAUACAUUAACCAUCAUUUGAUUCCUUUUCUUGUGGCAGAAUUCUUGACAAUCUUAACAUGGCAUAGUGGUAAAAUUUCCAAUCUACGGGACAUGUCUAUGAUUAUUCUUUGACAUCUUAGUGUGCAAUAGUACAGGAGAUGGUGAAAAAAGUGGUGAGAUGAAACAUACAGAAGGUAGGGCACUGCUGCAUAUGGGUUGUAUGAUUUAUUUGGUAUGCAAUUCUCAUUAUUGUUUUAAAGUUUUGCUGCUUUAAUUUUCAGAAUCUUCAAUCAUUCCUUUGCUACAGUAUGACUCUGUUUAAAUUAUAUACAAAAAAUUCUUCUAUUAAUUCUUUGAUCUUCAGGACAAAUAAUGUUUAGUGUACAGGAAAAAGCAGAUUUUUCACUGCUAGUUCGUCUAUAGAAUUUGCUAUAGGUACUAAUUGAUGGAAGGACACGAGGAAUGUGCUGAUAACGCUAACUACUAAUAGACUGCUCAACCAACUAGAGGAAUUGAAAAGGCUUUUUCACUCGUAUGGUAUGUUUUUCGAUUUCAUACUUCAUUGUUGUCAUGUUCCUGUUUUUUUUUAAAAAGGGUGAAACAGAAUGAUUAUUAUCAACAGGAAACCAAUCUUUUUCUACCAGAAUCUACACACUUUCAAUGCUCCCCCAUUAUUACCAUUCUCUCUUUUCAUUCUUGCCCACUUCAUACGAAUCUUGAUCAAAUUAUUAAAAGCUCGAAUUACAUAUACUUCUUUUGCUGUAGGUUUCAUUGACUUAAACUGCUUAUUAUCCCUCCUUUUUGCACAUUCUUUUUACUGGAUUGAGUUACUUAGCUAGAGAAUGAUGAGUUCUUUAAUAUUAGCUUAACGUAUUUUCCUAACCUUGUGGCAUACGAUCGAGUCUACUCGAUAGUUAUGUUACCAUCUCCCUUGUGAUUCAGCCACAAUGGAUAUAUGUUAGUAGUAAAAAUCGAGAGUGGUAGAUGAGAAUGAUAUCUUGUUUUUCUUAUUUUGGAAAGAUCUUUGCUCUUGUUGCAUUCUAAUUGGUGGACAACCUCUUUCUUUCUAUAGUUAGGGAGUCUCCUUUUACACCUAAUGGGAAGACUUUUGCCUCUGGCCCCUCUAUCUGUUUUUCUUUCAAAAGUAUAGAAUAUAACAGUGUCUGAACCAGUUUACAUACUUUUAUUAAUCUACCGGAUUGUCCCUUUGCUCAAGGGCGGA